rnacentral:misc_RNA from 1 species
UACGGAGGGUGCAAGCGUUGUUCGGAAUCACUGGGCGUAAAGCGCGUGUAGGCGGUCGGGCAAGUCAGGUGUGAAAGCCCAUGGCUCAACCAUGGAAUUGCAUUUGAAACUGCUCGGCUUGAGUAUGGGAGGGGGAGGUGGAAUUCCUGGUGUAGAGGUGAAAUUCGUAGAUAUCAGGAAGAACACCGGUGGCGAAGGCGGCCUCCUGGACCAUCACUGACGCUGAGACGCGAAAGCGUGGGGAGCAAACAGG